AACAUCUAAGUACCCCGAGGAAAAGAAAUCAACCGAGAUUCCGAAAGUAGCGGCGAGCGAAAUUGGACUAGCCCUUAAGCUUUACACGCGUUAGACGAACGGUCUGGAAAGUCCGACGAUACAGGGUGAUAGUCCCGUAGUUGACGACGUGUGUUCAGUGAAAUCGAGUAGGGCGGGACACGUGAUAUCCUGUCUGAAUAUGGGGGGACCAUCCUCCAAGGCUAAAUACUACUGACUGACCGAUAGUGAACCAGUACCGUGAGGGAAAGGCGAAAAGAACCCCUGUGAGGGGAGUGAAAUAGAACCUGAAACCGUGUACGUACAAGCAGUAGGAGCAGGCUUGUCCUGUGACUGCGUACCUUUUGUAUAAUGGGUCAGCGACUUAUAUUCAGUGGCAAGGUUAACCAUCUAGGGGAGCCGUAGGGAAACCGAGUCUUAACUGGGCGUUCAGUCUCUGGAUAUAGACCCGAAACCAGGUGAUCUAGCCAUGGGCAGGUUGAAGGUUGAGUAACAUCAACUGGAGGACCGAACCGACUAAUGUUGAAAAAUUAGCGGAUGACUUGUGGCUAGGGGUGAAAGGCCAAUCAAACCUGGAGAUAGCUGGUUCUCCCCGAAAGCUAUUUAGGUAGCGCCUCGGACGAAUACUACUGGGGGUAGAGCACUGUUAAGGCUAGGGGGUCAUCCCGACUUACCAACCCUUUGCAAACUCCGAAUACCAGUAAGUACUAUCCGGGAGACACACGGCGGGUGCUAACGUCCGUCGUGGAGAGGGAAACAACCCAGACCGCCAGCUAAGGUCCCAAAUUACUACUAAGUGGGAAACGAUGUGGGAAGGCUCAGACAGCCAGGAUGUUGGCUUAGAAGCAGCCAUCAUUUAAAGAAAGCGUAAUAGCUCACUGGUCGAGUCGGCCUGCGCGGAAGAUGUAACGGGGCUAAGUAGUAAACCGAAGCUGCGGCAAUGUGCUUUUGCACAUUGGGUAGGGGAGCGUUCUGUAAGCGGUUGAAGGUGUGUGGUAACGCAUGCUGGACGUAUCAGAAGUGCGAAUGCUGACAUGAGUAACGAUAAAGGGGGUGAAAAACCUCCUCGCCGGAAGACCAAGGGUUCCUGUCCAACGUUAAUCGGGGCAGGGUAAGUCGACCCCUAAGGCGAGGCCGAAAGGCGUAGUCGAUGGGAAACGGGUUAAUAUUCCCGUACUUCUUACAAUUGCGAUGGGGGGACGGAGAAGGCUAGGUGGGCCUGGCGACGGUUGUCCAGGUUCAAGUGCGUAGGCUUAAGAGUUAGGUAAAUCCGGCUCUUUUUAAGGCUGAGACACGACGUCGAGCACCUACGGGUGUGAAGUCAUUGAUGCCAUGCUUCCAGGAAAAGCCUCUAAGCUUCAGAUUGUAAGGAAUCGUACCCCAAACCGACACAGGUGGUCGGGUAGAGAAUACCAAGGCGCUUGAGAGAACUCGGGUGAAGGAACUAGGCAAAAUGGUACCGUAACUUCGGGAGAAGGUACGCUCUUGAUGGUGAAGUCCCUUGCGGAUGGAGCUGACGAGAGUCGCAGAUACCAGGUGGCUGCAACUGUUUAUUAAAAACACAGCACUGUGCAAAAUCGUAAGAUGACGUAUACGGUGUGACGCCUGCCCGGUGCCGGAAGGUUAAUUGAUGGGGUUAGACUUCGGUCGAAGCUCUUGAUCGAAGCCCCGGUAAACGGCGGCCGUAACUAUAACGGUCCUAAGGUAGCGAAAUUCCUUGUCGGGUAAGUUCCGACCUGCACGAAUGGCGUAAUGAUGGCCACGCUGUCUCCACCCGAGACUCAGUGAAAUUGAAAUCGCUGUGAAGAUGCAGUGUACCCGCGGCUAGACGGAAAGACCCCGUGAACCUUUACUACAGCUUGGCACUGAACAUUGACCCUACAUGUGUAGGAUAGGUGGGAGGCUUUGAAGCACGUACGCCAGUAUGUGUGGAGCCGUCCUUGAAAUACCACCCUUGUAGUGUUGAUGUUCUAACGUCGACCCCUUAUCGGGGUUGCGGACAGUGCCUGGUGGGUAGUUUGACUGGGGCGGUCUCCUCCCAAAGAGUAACGGAGGAGCACGAAGGUGGGCUAAUCACGGUUGGACAUCGUGAGGUUAGUGCAAUGGCAUAAGCCCGCUUGACUGCGAGAAUGACAAUUCGAGCAGGUGCGAAAGCAGGUCAUAGUGAUCCGGUGGUUCUGAAUGGAAGGGCCAUCGCUCAACGGAUAAAAGGUACUCCGGGGAUAACAGGCUGAUACCGCCCAAGAGUUCAUAUCGACGGCGGUGUUUGGCACCUCGAUGUCGGCUCAUCACAUCCUGGGGCUGAAGUCGGUCCCAAGGGUAUGGCUGUUCGCCAUUUAAAGUGGUACGCGAGCUGGGUUUAGAACGUCGUGAGACAGUUCGGUCCCUAUCUGCCGUGGGCGUUGGAAGAUUGAAGGGGGCUGCUCCUAGUACGAGAGGACCGGAGUGGACGAACCUCUGGUGUUCGGGUUGUGUCGCCAGACGCAUUGCCCGGUAGCUAAGUUCGGAAUCGAUAACCGCUGAAAGCAUCUAAGCGGGAAGCGAGCCCUGAGAUGAGUCUUCCCUGAUACUUUAAGUAUCCUAAAGGGUUGUCGGAGACUACGACGUUGAUAGGUCAGGUGUGUAAGUGCUGUGAGGCAUUGAGCUAACUGAUACUAAUUGCCCGUGAGGCUUAACCAU
rnacentral:rRNA from 1 species